CUGGCUCAGGAUGAACGCUAGCUACAGGCUUAACACAUGCAAGUCGAGGGGCAUCGAGAGGAAAGCUUGCUUCCUUGUCGGCGACCGGCGCACGGGUGAGUAACGCGUAUCCAACCUUCCCCUUAGUAGGGCAUAGCCCGGCGAAAGUCGGAUUAAUACCCUAUGUUUUCCGAUGAGGACAUCUGAGCUGGAAUAAAGAUUUAUCGCUAAGGGAUGGGGAUGCGUCUGAUUAGGUAGUCGGCGGGGUAACGGCCCACCGAGCCAACGAUCAGUAGGGGUUCUGAGAGGAAGGUCCCCCACAUUGGUACUGAGACACGGACCAAACUCCUACGGGAGGCAGCAGUGAGGAAUAUUGGUCAAUGGGCGAGAGCCUGAACCAGCCAAGUAGCCGUGCAGGAUGACGGCCCUAUGGGUUGUAAACUGCUUUUAUCGGGGGAUAAAGUGAGGGACGCGUCCCUUUUUGUAGGUACCCGAUGAAUAAGGACCGGCUAAUUCCGUGCCAGCAGCAGC
rnacentral:rRNA from 1 species